rnacentral:rRNA from 1 species
UUUACCUGAUUUCCUUCGGGGAUGAUUGUUCCGUGACUGAGUGGCGGACGGGUGAGUAACGCGUGGAUAACCUGCCUCACACAGGGGGAUAACAGUUGGAAACGACUGCUAAUACCGCAUAAGCGCACAGCACCGCAUGGUGCAGUGUGAAAAACUCCGGUGGUGUGAGAUGGAUCCGCGUCUGAUUAGCUGGUUGGCGGGGUAACGGCCCACCAAGGCGACGAUCAGUAGCCGGCCUGAGAGGGCGACCGGCCACAUUGGGACUGAGACACGGCCCAGACUCCUACGGGAGGCAGCAGUGGGGAAUAUUGCACAAUGGGGGAAACCCUGAUGCAGCGACGCCGCGUGAGCGAUGAAGUAUUUCGGUAUGUAAAGCUCUAUCAGCAGGGAAGAUAAUGACGGUACCUGACUAAGAAGCUCCGGCUAAAUACGUGCCAGCAGCCGCGGUAAUACGUAUGGAGCAAGCGUUAUCCGGAUUUACUGGGUGUAAAGGGAGCGUAGGCGGUCCUGCAAGUCUGAUGUGAAAGGCCGGGGCUCAACCCCGGGACUGCAUUGGAAACUGUAGGACUAGAGUGUCGGAGGGGUAAGUGGAGUUCCUAGUGUAGCGGUGAAAUGCGUAGAUAUUAGGAGGAACACCAGUGGCGAAGGCGGCUUACUGGACGACUACUGACGCUGAGGCUCGAAAGCGUGGGGAGCAAACA